rnacentral:rRNA from 1 species
CGGCGGACGGGUGAGUAAUGCCUAGGAAUCUGCCUGGUAGUGGGGACAACGUUUCGAAAGGAACGCUAAUACCGCAUACGUCCUACGGGAGAAAGUGGGGGAUCUUCGGACCUCACGCUAUCAGAUGAGCCUAGGUCGGAUUAGCUAGUUGGUGGGGUAACGGCUUACCAAGGCAACGAUACGUAGCCGACCUGAGAGGGUGAUCAGUCACACUGGAACUGAGACACGGUCCAG